rnacentral:sRNA from 1 species
GAUAAAUAGCCUGUCCUGCAGCCUGGCUUAAAACAGGGAAAGCUGGAGUUAGGCAACAGAGUGCCUAGCUUUCUCAGUCAUUCAAACACAAGCACGGAAGAAGAGAUUGCACUGACCAGAGGACCGCCAGGGUGUGACGCUCCGUAGUCGCAGGGAUGAAGGAAAGCCAUGGGCAGAGCUUGUCAUGGACAGCUCCUAGGUGGACAUAAAUAGAAACUCAUUGGUUCUGGGGCACGGCGGGAAGAGGGAGAUGGCCCUGGACGGCCGCACCAAGAAUUUCACAACCCAAACCCGACUAGAAAGCCUGGGGCUCCCAAUAUUACAAGUCUGUUCUUGACAAGGAAGUUGGGAUGACAGAACUACUGUAUGAAAACUCAGAAAUGCUCAGAAGUGCAGACCUUUGGUUCUGUUUUCUUCCUCAUCAGAUAGGAAUUUUUUUUUAACUACGCACAGAAUCACACUUGCAAAGUCUUCUUUUCCUUCUUGUUACUUUAUUUAGAAGCUGUGAACUCAAGAAGUAGGUCCCAUGUUGAAUCUACAUGUGCGCAGGUGAUUCUUUUAGCCAAGUCAUUUCCACACUCAUGCCCAAGUCUGGAGAUACACAGGUGCAGGAUUCUGACAACAUCAGGAUAUGAAAGGAUUUUAAGCUCAACGGUUAUCAGCUCAAAAGCAGAAAAUGUUCAUUCCCGUUUGUGCCCUGGUAUCUUGAAGAAUGUGCAGUAGGUUAUGGCCACACCGUGCCCUUGUCAGAUGGGGGUAAGGCCUUCUGCAUCAUCUACUCCGUCAUUGGCAUUCCCUUCACCCUCCUGUUCCUGACGGCUGUGGUCCAGCGCAUCACCGUGCACGUCACCCGCAGGCCGGUCCUCUACUUCCACAUCCGCUGGGGCUUCUCCAAGCAGGUGGUGGCCAUCGUCCACGCUGUGCUCCUUGGGUUUGUCACUGUGUCCUGCUUCUUCUUCAUCCCGGCCGCUGUCUUCUCAGUCCUGGAGGAUGACUGGAACUUCCUGGAAUCCUUUUAUUUUUGUUUUAUUUCCCUGAGCACCAUUGGCCUGGGGGAUUAUGUGCCUGGGGAAGGCUACAAUCAAAAAUUCAGAGAGCUCUAUAAGAUUGGGAUCACGUGUUACCUGCUACUUGGCCUUAUUGCCAUGUUGGUUGUUCUGGAAACCUUCUGUGAACUCCAUGAGCUGAAAAAAUUCAGAAAAAUGUUCUAUGUGAAGAAGGACAAGGACGAGGAUCAAGUGCACAUCAUAGAGCAUGACCAGCUGUCCUUCUCCUCGAUCACAGACCAGGCAGCUGGCAUGAAAGAGGACCAGAAGCAAAAUGAGCCCUUUGUGGCCACCCAGUCAUCUGCCUGCGUGGAUGGCCCUGCAAACCAUUGAGCGUAGGAUUUGUUGCAUUAUCCUAGAGCACCAGGGUCAGGGUGCAAGGAAGAGGCUUAAGUAUGUUCAUUUUUAUCAGAAUGCAAAAGCGAAAAUUAUGUCACUUUAAGAAAUAGCUACUGUUUGCAAUGUCUUAUUAAAAAACAACAAAAAAAGACAAAUGGAACAAAGAAGCUGUGACCCCAGCAGGAUGUCUAAUAUGUGAGGAAAUGAGAUGUCCACCUAAAAUUCAUAUGUGACAAAAUUAUCUAGACCUUACAUAGGAGGAGAAUACUUGAAGCAGUAUCCUGCUGUGGUUAGAAGCAGAUUUUAUACUUUUAACUGGAAACUUUGGGGUUUGCAUUUAAAUCAUUUAGCUGAUGGCUAAAUAGCAACAUUUAUAUUUAGAAGCAAAAAAAAAAAAACAUAGAGAUGUGUUUUAUAAAUAGGUUUAUGUGUACUGGUUUGCAUGUACCCACCCAAAAUGAUUAUUUUUGUAGAAUCUAAGUUAAACUUACUAUUUAUAAUGCAUAGGUAACCAUUAACUAUGUACAUAUAAAGUAUAAAUAUGUUUAUAUUCUGUACAUAUGGUUUAGGUCACCAGAUCCCAGUGCAGUUCUUAAACCAAGUCUAUAGAUAUUUUGUUUCUUUUGAUUUCUCUUUAUACUAAAGAAUCCAGAGUUGCUACAAUAAAAUAAGGGGAAUAAUAAACUUGAGAGUGAAUAACCAU